AUGAACGCUGGCGGCGUGCCUAAUACAUGCAAGUCGAGCGAACAGAUGAGGAGCUUGCUCCUCUGACGUUAGCGGCGGACGGGUGAGUAACACGUGGAUAACCUACCUAUAAGACUGGGAUAACUUCGGGAAACCGGAGCUAAUACCGGAUAAUAUAUUGAACCGCAUGGUUCAAUAGUGAAAGACGGUUUUGCUGUCACUUAUAGAUGGAUCCGCGCCGCAUUAGCUAGUUGGUAAGGUAACGGCUUACCAAGGCAACGAUGCGUAGCCGACCUGAGAGGGUGAUCGGCCACACUGGAACUGAGACACGGUCCAGACUCCUACGGGAGGCAGCAGUAGGGAAUCUGCCGCAAUGGGCGAAAGCCUGACGGAGCAACGCCGCGUGAGUGAUGAAGGUCUUCGGAUCGUAAAACGCUGUUAUUAGGGAAGAACAAAUGUGUAAGUAACUAUGCACGUCUUGACGGUACCUAAUCAGAAAGCCACGGCUAACUACGU
rnacentral:rRNA from 1 species